rnacentral:misc_RNA from 1 species
GAUGAAGAACGCAGCAAAAUGCGAUAAGUAAUGUGAAUUGCAGAAUUCAGUGAAUCAUCGAAUCUUUGAACGCACAUUGCGCCCGCCAGAAUUCUGGCGGGCAUGCCUGUUCGAGCGUCAUUUCAACCCUCAAGCCCCCGGGUUUGGUGUUGGGGAUCGGGCUGUACUCCAGCCCGGCCCCGAAAUCUAGUGGCGGUCUCGCUGCAGCCUCCAUUGCGUAGUAGCUAACACCUCGCAACUGGAACGCGGCGCGGCCAAGCCGUUAAACCCCCAACUUCUGAAUGUUGACCUCGGAUCAGGUAGGAAUACCCGCUGAACUUAAGCAUAUCAAUAAGCGGAGGA